GGGCCAGACUCCUACGGGAGGCAGCAGUCGGGAAUAUUGCGCAAUGGAGGAAACUCUGACGCAGUGACGCCGCGUAUAGGAAGAAGGUUUUCGGAUUGUAAACUAUUGUCCACAGGGAAGAAAAAAGACUGUACCUGUGAAGAAAGCUCCGGCUAACUACGUGCCAGCAGCCGCGGUAAUACGUAGGGAGCGAGCGUUAUCCGGAAUUAUUGGGUGUAAAGGGUGCGUAGACGGGAAAGCAAGUUAGUUGUGAAAUCCCUCGGCUUAACUGAGGAACUGCAACUAAAACUACUUUUCUUGAGUGCAGGAGAGGUAAGUGGAAUUCCUAGUGUAGCGGUGAAAUGCGUAGAUAUUAGGAGGAACACCAGUGGCGAAGGCGACUUACUGGACUGUAACUGACGUUGAGGCACGAAAGUGUGGGGAGCAAACAGGAUUAGAUACCCCCGUAA
rnacentral:rRNA from 1 species